GAUGAACGCUGGCGGCAGGCUUAACACAUGCAAGUCGAGCGGGCGAGGUUGCUUCGGUAACUGAGCUAGCGGCGGACGGGAGAGUAAAGCUUAGGAAUCUGCCUAUUAGUGGGGGACAACAUUCCGAAAGGGGUGCUAAUACCGCAUACGUCCUACGGGAGAAAGCAGGGGAUCACUUGUGACCUUGCGCUAAUAGAUGAGCCCAAGUCGGAUUAGCUAGUUGGUGGGGUAAAGGCCUACCAAGGCGACGAUCUGUAGCGGGUCUGAGAGGAUGAUCCGCCACACUGGGACUGAGACACUGCCCAGACUCCUACGGGAGGCUGCAGUCGAGGAUCAUUCGCAAUGGGCGGAAGCCUGACGAUGCGACGCUGCGUGGAGGAUGAAGGCCCUCGGGUCGUAAACUCCUGUCAUGGGGGGAGAGGCGGAGGCCGCGAACAGCGGCCCGAGUUGACGGUACCCCAAGAGGAAGCCACGGCUAACUCUGUGCCAGCAGCCGCGGUAA
rnacentral:rRNA from 1 species